AGUCGAGCGGAGAGAGGUAGCUUGCUACUGAUCUUAGCGGCGGACGGGUGAGUAAUGCUUAGGAAUCUGCCUAUUAGUGGGGGACAACAUUUCGAAAGGAAUGCUAAUACCGCAUACGUCCUACGGGAGAAAGCAGGGGAUCUUCGGACCUUGCGCUAAUAGAUGAGCCUAAGUCGGAUUAGCUAGUUGGUGGGGUAAAGGCCUACCAAGGCGACGAUCUGUAGCGGGUCUGAGAGGAUGAUCCGCCACACUGGGACUGAGACACGGCCCAGACUCCUACGGGAGGCAGCAGUGGGGAAUAUUGGACAAUGGGCGCAAGCCUGAUCCAGCCAUGCCGCGUGUGUGAAGAAGGCCUUAUGGUUGUAAAGCACUUUAAGCGAGGAGGAGGCUACUUUAGUUAAUACCUAGAGAUAGUGGACGUUACUCGCAGAAUAAGCACCGGCUAACUCUGUGCCAGCAGCCGCGGUAAUACAGAGGGUGCAAGCGUUAAUCGGAUUUACUGGGCGUAAAGCGCGCGUAGGCGGCUAAUUAAGUCAAAUGUGAAAUCCCCGAGCUUAACUUGGGAAUUGCAUUCGAUACUGGUUAGCUAGAGUGUGGGAGAGGAUGGUAGAAUUCCAGGUGUAGCGGUGAAAUGCGUAGAGAUCUGGAGGAAUACCGAUGGCGAAGGCAGCCAUCUGGCCCUACACUGACGCUGAAGUGCGAAAGCAUGGGGAGCAAACAGGAUUAGAUACCCUGGUAGUCCAUGCCGUAAACGAUGUCUACUAGCCGUUGGGGGGCUUUGAGGCUU
rnacentral:rRNA from 1 species